ACAUGUAUACAACAUAGAAAUAAUGCAACAAAUCCCAUUAGAACUCUACAAUUAAGCAUGCUCGAGAUAGAGUAGUACUAGGAUGAGAGACCUCUCGAGAAGUCCUAGUGUUUUACAUGUC
rfam:Picea glauca, whole genome shotgun sequence.